rnacentral:rRNA from 1 species
UACGUAGGUGACAAGCGUUGUCCGGAUUUACUGGGCGUAAAGAGCGCGCAGGCGGUCGUUCAAGUCGAGUGUGAAAGCCCCCGGCUCAACUGGGGAGGGUCACUCGAUACUGAUCGACUCGAAGGCAGGAGAGGGAAGUGGAAUCCCGGUGUAGUGGUGAAAUUCGUAGAUAUCGGGAGGAACACCGGUGGCGAAGGCGGCGACCUGGGACAAUACUGACGCUGAGGUGCGAAAGCGUGGGAGCAAACAGG